rnacentral:rRNA from 1 species
CCUACGGGAGGCAGCAGUGAGGAAUAAUGGUCAAUGGGCGCAAGCCUGAACCAGCCAAGUCGCGUGAGGGAAGACGGCCCUACGGGUUGUAAACCUCUUUUGCCGGGGAGCAAGCCUGAGCACGUGUGCCCCGGCUGAGUGUACCCGGAGAAAAAGCCUCUGCUAACUCCGUGCCAGCAGCCGCGGUCAUACGGAGGAUGCGAGCGUUCUCCGGAUUUAUUGGGUUAAAGGGGUGCGCAGGCGGCCUGUUCAGCCGGCGGUAAAAAUUCAGGGCUCAACCCUGUCGAGCCGUCGGAACUGGCAGUCUGGAGUGGGCGAGAAGUAUGCGGAAUGCGUGGUGUAGCGGUGAAAUGCAUAGAUAGCACGCAGAACGCCGAUUGCGAAGGCAGCAUACCGGCGCCCAACUGACGCUGAGGCACGAAAGCGUGGGGAUCGAACAGGAUUAGAUACCCUGGUAGUC